CUACAUCACAGCUCAGGCAGGUUGGGGCAGGUGGUGAAUAUCUGGCACAGCUGUUUCCUCCAGCUUCUGCUAGGGCGGCUUUCCAAGACACCGGUUAGUGCCUUUAGAGUGACUUCACAGUCUACGCUGUAUUCAACGUGCAGGCACAGCAAGGAGAGGGUCGUACACCUGCUCAGAUGACACACACAGACAAUGUUCCUUAAGAGGCCCCUGUAUUCCAGUUCCUGGCAGCAUCAUGGACAUGAUAUAAUAACGGCAGUCAAUUAGUGGAUAUAUGGAGAAUAAAACAAUCGUCAGUCUGCCCCAACGCGCCCCCCUGUCACCAUCAGUUCCUGGAGCACCCUCUCCGCCCAUGCUACGCACCUGGAUGGGACUAUAAGAUUAUAGUAACUCUGGAACUUUAUUUGAUUUUGGAAGCAAAAUUAUCACAACCAAAUUAAACUCUCUUCCUGCUAGUAAAAAGUUAGAAAGGACACUAGAUGUGGCACAACUGUAGGAGGCAGAAUUUCAUAAUACUCUGUGCUUGGACAUCUGGUCCCAGUGUUUUCCCAAUAGAGUGCAUCUUUUUUUUUAUAUAAAUUUUAUUCGUGAGAAGACAGAGAGAAAUAAUAAACACAGAGACCUACGCAGAGGCCAUUGAAGAUAUGAACAAACAGCUUACAUCAAAGCUCAUUUGGGGUGUCUUAGUAUGUCAAUUAAG